GGCGGAGGGAUCCCGCGGAGCGCGAGCCGCGGGAUCCCGCACCGGCCGCCGGGGGUCGACCGCCGAGCGGGCCGGCGGAGUGCUGAGCCCGGCCCGCCGCCCGGGUGCUCGUGCGGCGCAGCGGCGGGGCCUGGGCUGCAUGGCUGGCCUCGCCCGCACCUGCGUCGGUUCGCCUGGAUUCACCAGGCCGGCCUCCAGUCGGUACCGGGUGGUCCCGUAAACUCUGAGUUCAGGAAAUGCCUCAGGGUUUUAGGAUGCAACUCUUCAGAUGCAAGUCUUCGUUUCGUGGUUAAUGGCCCAGUCUUACUAUACUGCGCUUUCCCUGUACGUUGCUUCAGAUCCUUUUCAGAAAUUGCGUGAAGACACUGAGGCUGGAAAAGUGAAGUCUUGAUCAGGACAUCUCUAUGUAAUCUUGCUGGAAUCCGGCAUACACUUGAGACAGUAGAAGAACAAUGUGAGGAAACUGAGCAAAAUGACUGAUGUAAGCACUAAGAGCUCUUGGAGUUGAGACAAUGGGGAAAUCAAUACAGGUUACAGCAUUCAAGCAUUCAGCAACAUUUUUCAAGCAACUGUUGGAUAAACAGUACCCUACUAGGUACUGUUUAGCAAUGGGCCCACAUCCAGUACAGAAAACAAACCUACAAAUGAAGAAUUGCAAUACAAUGAGAUCCAUGUUUAGGAUAUUUAGACUCAAGAUACUCUGGGGUGAUGUGCUUCACCAGGGAGUGGUCAGAGGUUUCACAGAGAGUUUAAAAUGGGUCUUGAAGGAUAUUUGAGAGUUUUUCAAGGGGAGAAAAGGGUAAGUCAUAUCUGGCAGAGGGAAGAGCAUGUACAAAGGUACGGAAAGCUGGACAUAACAUGACAAGACUGAGAAUCAGAGAGUGAUUCACUGUGUCUGGAGGUCAAGUACAUAAAAUUUGUAGAGAUAAGACUGGAAAGAGAAAUUGGGGCCGUGUUGUAUAUGAGGUGAAAGAGUUUACAUAUUAUCCUCCAGGGAAUGGGAAAAUGAAGAUAUUUUAGAGUGACAAAUCUGCAGUGUGAAGGAAAAAUUUGAGCCAGAGAAAAGGUAACACCUGAGCUUUACUUUGAAUGCCACUUUAGAUUUGGAUAAACAAAGAAGUGGAUAUUAGAGCAUAAGCAGAGGCUUAGAGUCCUGACAAGCAAGUCCUGACAGGGACGAUGAGACCAGCCAGGUGAGAAAGGCGUAAUCUUAGAGAACAGGGGCGGGAAGAAAAGAUUAUACAAUGAAGAAUCUUGAAUGGCUGUUUGAAGUUGGAAAUUUGGACUUCAUCGUAUAGGCAGAUUGCAUAGCCACUGGAUGUUUUGAUCAUGUUUUCGAUGUGACAUGAAUUGUGAAUUGAGUAAGGAACAAAGGAAGCAUCAAAUUCUAGCUAUGUGGCAGUAAAAAUAGUCUCUGCUUACAGUAAUGAACCCCUGUUGGUGGCAAUGAGUCUGAAUCGGAAAAAGUAGACCUCAGCAAUGUUUGAAAGAUAAACCAGAGGUCUUCAGUUUUAAAAGAUGCCUAUCACAACCUCUGUGUAAUUUCUCUCAAGUUCUCACUGAAAUAACUAGUCAUAUACUUUUAAAAAACCAUACUACCAAAAACUGGUAUUGAUUGUUAAUCUUUUUUCCAGAGUCCAGAAGGAAUAUUUUUCCUACCAUAUUAAUGUAACUGGAUGGGAAAUUAGACUAAUAAUCCAUCCCUGUUAUGCCCUGUUUUAAAAAGGUAGGUGCUUCAUCCCUCUUUACUGUUCGCCCUCCUAAGAAAUCAUAGGUCCACACCAGUGGUUCCCAGAUUUCAGUGUGCAUCCCGAUCAUCUAGAGAAUUGUUAAAAUGUAGAUUCUCAGGCUUCACUCCCCACCCCCACCCUGAGAUUCUGACUCAGUAGGUCUGAAAAGCCCAAGAAUAUGCAUUUUUAGCAAUGAUCUAUAGGAGAUCACCUGCAUGCCACACAUUUUAGUCACAAAACUAGAUAACAGUUCUCUCCAUUGUUCUGUUUUGCUGCUAAAGCUGUCUUCUAAAACAAUUUGUAAGUACUCUCCCCUUAUCUACAAACAAUUAAAAUAAAAUAAAAUAAUAAAAUAAAAUAAAAACUGAACAAGGGAUUGGAGAAAAGAGGAAAGAAGAGAAAAGAUGAUGGCCCCUUUAUAUCAUGACAUGUUUUUAGACAAGGACAUGGCAGGAAUAGCAGCCCUGAGAAUACUUUGAACUAGGCUUUCUUGAAAUCCCAUCUAUUCAGAGUAUGGGAAGGAACCCAAAGGAACCACAAGAGCCAAAGCCUGCUAGAUCUUAAGAUCUGUGAAGGGAAUUUGACCAGCACACAAGUGGACAGACAAGAGGGCCAAAGACAAUUCGACCAGUCUGUCUGCUGGCAAAGACCAGGUAAGGAUCAAUGGAAUAUUCUAUAUCCAAAAAUAAGUAAAAAGGAGAAAAAAUGGAAUCCAUUUUAAAAAUACUGUGAGACAAAGAAAAUAAAAAUAGCGUGUCAAUUCAAAAGAUAGGUAAAUCACUGAAAAUUUAUUACAGUGAUGAGGGGGUAAAAUGCUGCUUGUCAUGGUUAAGGAUAUAAGAAUACAUAGCCUUUAUGAAAUAAGAGUGAGCAAGAACAUGAGAAGUUGAGAGAGAUGAGUAAGGUAAGAAAUAUACACUGGAGGAACACCACUACCCACACAAAAUACUCAAUAACACUGGAUAAAAUAUUUUAAAACAGCACUUAAAAUGAAUUAGUAAGCUUAUAAGAAAGUAGGAAAAAUUCCCUAAAUUCAGGAAUAAAGCUGGAGGAAGAGUCUGGGAGGUUGAGGAAUCACGAAAGGUUGUGGAUGCCCUGAAAACAUCUACUCUCCCAGGUGCCUAUAGCUGUAGGUGACACACAGGACAAAGAGUAGAUUGAAGACCCCAGCAUAAAGCCAGGGUGGGAAAAGGGCUACACAAUUAGCUAAAUGGUAGACUAGGAGAAGAAAUUGCUGAGGUAGACAAUAAGGCAUCACACCUAUCUGCUUGAUUCUAGGUAGAACUUUUUUUUCUUUAAUAACUUGUGGCUUCUAUCUGAAACUCAGGUGGGUUUGAUGCCUGAAUAUAGAGUAUUUGCUUGUUAUAAAGAAAAUAUCGCCAAUAAUUUUAAUUUAGGUUGACUCAGUAAAUAUAUAGGAUAUUUGCACAGCACCGUUAAGUUUUUUUUUUUUUUUUUUUUUUAAAGAUUUUAUUUAUUUAUUUGACAGAGAGAGACACAAUGAGAGAGGGAACACAAGCAGGGGGAGUGGGAGAGGGAGAAGCAGGCUUCCCGCCGAGCAGGGAGCCCGAUGUGGGGCUCGAUCCCAGGACCCUGGGAUCAUGACCUGAGCCGAAGGCAGACGCUUAACGACUGAGCCACCCAGGUGCCCCUAACAAGUUUUAUUUGAUUAAAAUACAGAAAAAAUAGCAAGCUUAAAUUGGAGAGUGCACAUUAUCUGCAAGAACAAAUAGAACAUUAGAAAUGAGUUAUGUUAAAGGCCAUAAAGUAAGUUUCAACAAAAAUCAAAGAACAGAGAACACAAUUUUGGAUCUUAAUGCAAUUAAGCAAGAAAUCAAUUUUAUGACAUUUUUUAAAAAUAGAUAUGCUUCUGUAUACUAAUGGAUCAAAGAAGAAAAUAAAAUUAGAAAACACUUGGAACUGAACAUUAAUGAAAAUGUCUCCAAUUAAAUCCUGUGAUGUGGAUCUAAAGCUUUACUGUGCUUAGAGGCUAAAAUUAAUGGACUAAUCUUUCAACUUAAGUAUAAAAAAGAAAAACACAUUAAAUCCAAAGGAAGUUGAAAGAAAGAAUACUAAAGACAAAAAUUAAAGACUUGAAAAACAAAGAUAAGAGAAUCAACAAAAAAAAAAAUUAGCUAUGUGUAAAGACCAAUUUUUGUAGCAGAAAUAAAAUGAACUCAAGAGAGGGGUUGGAAAAUAAAGUUGCAUUAGUCUCCCAGAAAAAGGAACAGAAAUAUUGAGAAAAGGAAAAGAAAACGUUUAAAAAUUAAAGGAUCCGUCCAGGAGUUCUAAUGAAUGAGUUCCAGAGUUCAAGAGUUCCUGAAGUAGAGAACACAAUGAACAGGGAAGGAAAUCAUCAAUAUUGAAGAAAAUUCCCCAGAAAUGAAGGAAGCAAGUUUUCAGAUUAAAAAGGCUUAGCCAAAGGAAGCUGUUUGUGAAAUUUCAGUAAAGUGACAACAAAGAAAGACAUUUGCUAGCUUUCAGGGAGAAAAUCAAGCUUUACAUCAAGAAUUAAGAAUCAGAAUAGCAUUGGACUUCCAAAGUCAUAGCCAAAGGGAAAAGAGAGAGAAAGUAUACCCCCAGGUGCCUGUUUACAAAACAUAAUAAAGAUGCAAAUAAGAAAACUUUUUUAUUUUACUUUUGCACUGAGUUACAAUAUUUAAGUUUGUUGAAUGUAUAAAUGGCGUAUUUUUUAUUUAUGGGUACAUUAGGGCAAGAAGUAUAUUCUCUAUACAUUAUACUUGCCCCUGGGAGAAGUUUGUCUGCUAUAACAAUAGUGGACGCCAGAAGACAAUGAAGCAAUGCCUUCAAAAUUCUGAAAGAAAAUUAUUUUCAAGAAUUACAUACCCAGCCAAACUAUCAAUUAAGAGUGAAGGUAAAAGAAACAUUUUCAGACAUGUAAAAAUCUCAAAAACAAUAUAUUUUGAUGCACCUUUCCUCAGGAAGAGAGAGAGGAAGCCAAGAAAGAGGAAGACAUUUGGUGUAGGGAGAUAAAGAUGUGACACAGGAGAAAGGAAAAGGAAAUCCCUAAUUGAUGACACAGAGCCAAAGGAGACAGCUGUGCAGCAGGCCAAAAGGCUACCAGUCUCCAUAGGAUCUGAUCAGAGGGUUCAAAGAGACUUCAAGAAAAUCAAAGUCACUAGAUAUUGCCAAAAAAAUGGAAAACAACACUAGUUAAUGAGUUAAUAAUGAGCCCAUGAGAAACUAAACAAACAAAAGAUAACUAUUAAUUUCAAGGAAAACAGAAUGUACAAGAAAAGGUAAAGUACAGUGUAGUAUGCGGCUCGACUGUAACUGGCAUUUAUGUAGUCAUAAUCACAUAAACAUUGAAUAUUAAGCUAGCCAAAUUAUGAUAUAACUGAAUUAGUAAGAUAGGAGGAUAGUAACUAGUGAGGACAGAGCUAAAUUCCCCUCUUUCAAAGUCGAAAAUCAAUAGAUAAUGCCUACAACUGAAAACUCAAGAAAACACCUAAAAUUGAAAACUCACAAAGUAGUGAUAUAAGCAUGUUGUUAGAGAUAUUAAGAAUUCAGAUAAUAAGAAUCAGCUAAAGAUUUGAAAACAGUUGUGGGAAAUGGAUUGAUGGGGUGGGGGUCAGGGGAUUGCUGUUUGCUCACAAUAAUCUUAAAAAGCUAGAUUUGGGGAAAUAAAGGGAUUGUACUAGUAUUUACUCUCACCGGUUUGUAUGAAGGUCUCUGCUUCCCUGAUCCCUUCCCUACACAAUUAAAAGAAGAAAGAAAGGAAAGAGGGAGGGAGGGAGGGA